UACGGAGGAUGCAAGCGUUAUCCGGAAUCAUUGGGCGUAAAGCGUCCGCAGGUGGCUGUUCAAGUCUGCUGUUAAAGACAGAAGCUCAACUUCUGAACAGCAGUGGAAACUGGACGGCUAGAGUACGGUAGGGGUUGAGGGAAUUCCCAGUGUAGCGGUGAAAUGCGUAGAUAUUGGGAAGAACACCAGUGGCGAAGGCGCUCAACUGGGCCGUAACUGACACUCAGGGACGAAAGCUAGGGUAGCGAAAGGG
rnacentral:rRNA from 2 species